rfam:Brachypodium distachyon strain Bd21 chromosome 1, whole genome shotgun sequence.
UAAGUACUCCCUCCGUCCCAUAUUAAAUGACUCAAAUUUGUCUAAAUAUGGACGUAUCUGUAUACUAAAACACGGCUAGAUACACGUAAUAGAAAGUCACUUAAUAUGGGACGGAGAGAGUACUAA